UACGAACUGUGCGAACGUUAUUCGGAAUCACUGGGCUUACAGGGUGCGUAGGCGGCUAUUCAGGUCAGGUGUGAAAGCCCUCGGCUCAACCGAGGAACUGCGCUUGAAACCGAAUGGCUCGAGUCAGCUAGAGGUACACGGAACUUCCAGUGGAGCGGUGAAAUGCGUAGAUAUCGCUUGGAACGCCGAAGGUGAAAACAGGCUGCUGGGGUUGCGCCGACGCUGAGACACGAAAGCCAGGGGAGCAAACGGG
rnacentral:rRNA from 1 species